rnacentral:rRNA from 1 species
AUUGAACGCUGGCGGCAGGCCUAACACAUGCAAGUCGAGCGAGAGGCGGACGGGUGAGUAAUGUCGGGGAAACUGCCUGAUGGAGGGGGAUAACUACUGGAAACGGUAGCUAAUACCGCAUACCAUCAGAUGUGCCCAGAUGGGAUUAGCUAGUAGGUGGGGUAACGGCUUAACUAGGCGACGAUCCAUAGCUGGUCUGAGAGGAUGACCAGCCACACUGGAACUGAGACAAUGUCCAGACUCCUGCGGUAGGCAGCAGUGGGGAAUAUUGCACAAUGGGCGCAAGCCUGAUGCAGCCAUGCCGCGUGUGUGAAGAAGGCCUUCGGGUUGUAAAGCACUUUCAUCGGGGAGGCGUUACCCGCAGAAGAAGCACCGGCUAACUCCGUGCCAGCAGCCGCGGUAAUAC